rnacentral:rRNA from 1 species
AUCAACGCUGGCGGCGUGCCUAACACAUGCAAGUCGAACGCGAAAGCCCCGCAAGGGGUAAGUAGAGUGGCAAACGGGUGAGUAACACGUGGGUGACCUGCCUUCGAGUGGGGGAUAACGUCCCGAAAGGGACGCUAAUACCGCAUGACAUCCUGCUUUUGAAAAAGCGGGGAUCAAAGCUGGGGAUCGCAAGACCUAGCGCUUGAAGAGGGGCCCGCGCCUGAUUAGCUAGUUGGUGAGGUAACGGCUCACCAAGGCGACGAUCAGUAUCCGGCCUGAGAGGGCGGACGGACACACUGGGACUGAGACACGGCCCAGACUCCUACGGGAGGCAGCAGUGGGGAAUUGUUCGCAAUGGGCGCAAGCCUGACGACGCAACGCCGCGUGGAGGACGAAGAUCUUCGGGUCGUAAACUCCUGUCGAGCGGGACGAACGCUUCGCGGAUGAAUAAUCCGCGGAAUUGACGGUACCGCUAAAGGAAGCCCCGGCUAACUCCGUG